rnacentral:rRNA from 1 species
GAAACGACCGCUAAUACCGCAUACGAUCGUCUUAACUUAAGUUGAGACGAGGAAAGGCGCCUUCAAGCGUCGCCGAGGGAUGGGUCCGCCCCCCAUUAGCUAGUUGGUGAGAUAACAGCUCACCAAGGCUUCGAUGGGUAGCCGAGCUGAGAGGUUGAUCGGCCACACUGGGACUGAGACACGGCCCAGACACCUACGGGUGGCAGCAGUAGGGAAUAUUGGACAAUGGGCGAAAGCCUGAUCCAGCCAUGCCGCGUGGAGGAUGAAGGCCUUCGGGUCGUAAACUCCUUUUCUGAGGGAAGAACAUCUUGUGGAGGAAAUGCCACAGGCUUGACGGUACCUCAGGAAUAAGCAACGGCUAACUCCGUGCCAGCAGCCGCGGUAAUACGGAGGUUGCAAGCGUUGUUCGGAAUAACUGGGCGUAAAGCGGGCGCAGGCGGCUAAGUCAGUCCGAAGUGGAAUCCCGGGG